AGAGUUUGAUCCUGGCUCAGAACGAACGCUGGCGGCGCGUCUUAAGCAUGCAAGUCGAGCGGGAUUGGGUAGCUUGCUAUCCAUGAGAGCGGCGGACUGGUGAGUAACGCGUGGGUGACGUACCCUGAGGAUGGGGAUAGCCGAUAGAAAUAUCGGAUAAUACCGAAUACGGUGUGGAGAGUUAGAGACUUUACAUCAAAGCUUCUUUUGAAGCGCCCCAGGAGCGGCCCGCGUACUAUUAGCUGGUUGGUGAGGUAACGGCUCACCAAGGCGACGAUAGUUACCCGGCCUGAGAGGGUGAACGGGCACAUUGGGACUGAGAUACGGCCCAGACUCCUACGGGAGGCAGCAGCUAAGAAUAUUCCGCAAUGGAGGAAACUCUGACGGAGCGACGCCGCGUGGACGAUGAAGGCCGGAAGGUUGUAAAGUCCUUUUAGAUAUGAGGAAUAAGUAAGGUGAGAGAAACGCCUUAUGGUGACUGUAGUAUCAGAAUAAGGGGCGGCUAAUUACGUGCCAGCAGCCGCGGUAACACGUAAGCCCCGAGCGUUGUUCGGAAUUAUUGGGCGUAAAGGGCAUGUAGGCGGCUUUGCAAGUCUGGUGUGAAAGGCGGGGGCUUAACCCCCGGACUGCGCUGGAAACUGCAUGGCUUGAGUCACUGAGGGGCAACCGGAAUUCCUGGUGUAGGGGUGAAAUCUGUAGAUAUCAGGAAGAACACCGAUGGCGAAGGCAGGUUGCCAGCGGAUGACUGACGCUGAGGUGCGAAGGUGCGGGGAGCAAACAGGAUUAGAUACCCUGGUAGUCCGCACAGUCAACGAUGUACACCAGGUGUCCGCUCAUGAGAGUGGGUGCCGAAGCAAACGCGAUAAGUGUACCGCCUGGGGAGUAUGCCCGCAAGGGUGAAACUCAAAGGAAU
rnacentral:rRNA from 1 species